UAACAGGAAGCAGCUUGCUGCUUCGCUGACGAGUGGCGGACGGGUGAGUAAUGUCUGGGAAACUGCCUGAUGGAGGGGGAUAACUACUGGAAACGGUAGCUAAUACCGCAUAACGUCGCAAGACCAAAGAGGGGGACCUUCGGGCCUCUUGCCAUCGGAUGUGCCCAGAUGGGAUUAGCUUGUUGGUGGGGUAACGGCUCACCUAGGCGACGAUCCCUAGCUGGUCUGAGAGGAUGACCAGCCACACUGGAACUGAGACACGGUCCAGACUCCUACGGGAGGCAGCAGUGGGGAAUAUUGCACAAUGGGCGCAAGCCUGAUGCAGCCAUGCCGCGUGUAUGAAGAAGGCCUUCGGGUUGUAAAGUACUUUCAGCGGGGAGGAAGGGAGUAAAGUUAAUACCUUUGCUCAUUGACGUUACCCGCAGAAGAAGCACCGGCUAACUCCGUGCCAGCUGCGGGGGUUAAUACAA
rnacentral:rRNA from 1 species